UUUUGUUCUGGUGCUAACGGUCUCCUUCACCUUUACUCAUUAUAAUGUUUUACAGUGUUGUGUGUUAUAUAGUUAUUGGUUACAUUUCCAGGAAGCUUGAAGGACCAGCAACACAUCUCGGUAUGACUCAACUGUACACACUGUCCAGACCCAUAUAUUAUGACGGCACCAAUGACAACUGAUGAAACACAGCUGACCUGUGGGAGGUGUUUCGCAUAUUAUCCGAGUCAACAGAAGGAGUUCGUCUUUGCGAUCAGCUCCUUCCGACCAUCUCCGAGAUGUCAUCCGGAGAGUUGAACUUUGCUCUUGCCAUCCGGUCUCUUCUCCAGAGUAUCGUCAGAGGUACAAUGAUUUAUAUUAAGAAUAUCUUCAAUAUAAUUAGCCCUACCAUUUCAAGUGGAUGAAUUUUUAAUUAGUAAGAAUCAUGAUACCACUUAAAAAGUUGUCAAUUUGCUUUAAAAGGGUAUUUGUGGGGGAUAAAUGUAAAGGUGUACAUAUAAAUGCAAAGAUACAUGAAAAUAUUGAGUGUUUUAUUAUGAGGUACAGCACAGUACAAGCUUUUAGGUAUGAUUUUGUCACCGCUAAAUCUGCAUUACACAUUUUGUAUUCUACUUUUAUUUCCAAAAUCUGGUUAAACUGUCUGGGUUUUUCUCACAGUAGGAGCAGAAAUAGGCACUCCUUGAUUAAUCACGCCUCCAUCACUGUGUCAAGCUCUGCUGACCUGGCUCUGUGCGGUGAUUUACUCUCUAAUGUGCUCAUGUUUUUGUCAAUUGUUGAUGGAAUGUGGCUGUGUACUAUUUACACUUUGGAGGUCACAUUGAAGCAACACUUAGCAAUGAUAGGGAAUUACGCAGUGCAGUAUAUAUUUUAUUUCAAUAUUGUUGCUGCUAGUGAGUUGUACUAAACAAGUAUCCACUAUGUAUUUCAUAACAUUGUAAUUUCUUUUGGCAUUCUCAAUUUUUGUUUCGGAUAUACUGUAUAUAUAGGGAUGCUGUAAUCUAAAAUUAGGUUUUGCAUACAUCAAGAGUACGUUUGUGGCUCCUCACGAGUUGUACUUGCUCAGAAAUAUAUACUGUACAGUAAUGUUAUAUACAGGUUGCACUUAAAAAAAUCCAAACAUCAUUUAUCCCAAAACUGUGAACAUCCAAAAGUGAUCGCAUUGAUUAUAAAAAUUUACCGCGCUGCCAGAUGAUGGCGUUUCAGCACACUAAGCUAAGAUAUCAUCACCGGGGCAUUUUCUCGUAGUCGGUCCCCGAGUUACACCCUCCGACUCGCCGUCACCCGCACUUACGAACGGGAUACCAAUACAUUCACCUCAAAAAGUUGUAAUUAAACUGUCAUUAUUUUCAUCAUUGUUUAACAGCACUUUAUUUGUUAUGUAACCUAAAGUAUGGGUCCAGGAACUUAUCCCUGUUGUAAGUUGGGGACGGCCUGUAUUAUUAUUAACAUUAUAUUUUGAGUUCCUUAGUUUAGUGUGUUUGUUAUACCUGUACAUGCAGUAUUAUAUAUUAGUUUAUAGUUGUCAUAUAUGUAGUAUUUUAUUUGGUGCUUAAUGAAAUAUUAGGGUUUUUAAUAAUGACCUUGAGUUGGCCAACAAGUUCAGUUAUCUGAAACAUUUUGGAUUUUUGAAGUGGAACCUAUAUUUCAACUCCCUCCUCAAAAUAUUAAUGUACUAUAGGAACAGAAAUGGUUGAUUUAAAUUAUUGCUCCAAACUGCACCACACCCAAAAUAUAUACCAUAGUGCCAUCUUUGGCAUAUACAGUAAAUGAACUUUUGUAAACUGUACUGUACAUACUUAAUGUCACAUGAUGUGACAAUGUUUGUUUUGUCAAGUGAUGUAUAGUGCAUGUCGUUAGUGUAACGGUCGGUGCCAAAUCGUCGUUAUUUGGCGCCAUUCAUUUUUAGAUAUACCUGUAUCUCAUUUAUGAGACAUUGUUUAUCUAAGCCAAGAGUUGUUACGUCUUGCAUAUUUCACCUCCGUCGUCAGAAAAUGUAAAGGCGCGAUGUUGAGCAAUUUGUUGCCAGACUAUGGAUGAUAGAUAAGAUCUGUACAUAUCAUAUUAAGUCUUCAACACAAGAUAUUUAUUGUCAACUCUAAAUUAAAUAUGUUGUGAAUAAAACUUUUCAAUUUGGUCUUGUCUCGUGUCAUGCCUUUAUACAGGUGUGUUACCAAAGUCAGAAUAAAAGAUUGUCUCCGGC